rnacentral:tRNA from 1 species
GGGUUAGCUCAAAUGGUAAGAGCACCAGAUCCUGAAUCUGGAAGUUACCGGUUCGACUCCGGUACCCA